UUGAGUUGGAUCCCAUUUUACAGGUAUACCAUAAAAGGAUAAUUUGUUUAUUCUUUCAUUAAUUGUUGGAUAUUUGGUUUGGUGAUUAUGAAUGAAAUUUCUAUAAACAGUCUCAGAUAGGUCUUUGUGUAGGGACUUUACUUGGAUAAAUAUAUAGGAGAAGGAGUCCUUGAUUGUAUAGUAAGUGUAUAUUCAACUUUAUAAGAAAAUGCCAAAUGUUUUCCAAAGUUGCUGUACCAUUUUACAUUCUCUUCAGUAAUGCGUGAGUUUCAGUUCAACAUCUAAACCAACACUUGCUGGUGAUUGUUUAUAAAUUUUAGCCAUUCUACUUGGCAUCUAAUAGUAUCUUAUAGUUUUAAUCUAAUUUGCAUUUUUGUAAUAAUGAUGGUGAACAUCUUUUCACAUGAUGUUUGCCACUCAUAGCUCAAGUGAUGCACCUUUUAAAAUAUUUUGACCAAUUCUAAAAGAAAAAUGGGUUGUUUGCUUUUCAUUAUUGAAUUGUAAGAGCUCUUUAUGAAUUCAGGAUGGAAGUUAUAUUUAAUGAGAUGGGUGUUUUACAUAUAUUUUCUCUAAGUCUAUGACUUGCCUUUUAAUUUUGUUAGUAUGUAGUACUUUUUAAACUUGUGUAGAUUCUUUGAGAUUUUCUACAUAGACAAUCAUGUGGUCUCCAAAUAAAAGACAGUCUUAUUUAUUCCUUUCUAAUAUGUAUAAUUUUGAUUUCUUUUUUGUACUUUAUUAUGUUGGUUAGAACCUUCAUUAUGAUGUUAAAUAGGAAUAAUGAGAGCAUUCUUGCCAUAUUCCUGGUCUUAGGUAAAAACACUCAUUCUUUCACCAUUAAGUGUGAUGUUACUUAUAGGUUAACUUAAGGUGCCUUUUUUCAGGUUGAGGAAGUUCCUUUCUAUUCCAAGUUUGCUGAGGGUUUUUAUCAUUAAUGGAUGCUAAAUUUUGUCAAAUGCUAUUUUUAUAUCUAUUGACAUGUUGAUUUUUAUUUGUGUAAUAGUUGUUGUUAAUAUGCUGAAUAUUGACCCAAACUUGCAUUUCUGGGAUAAGCUCACUUGGUCAUGAUGUAUCAUCUUUUUUGUGUUUCAUUAGAUUUGAUUUACUAAAGUUUUGUUGUGGUUUGAGAGCAUAUUUUAUAUCAGCGCUUCUCAACUAGGGACAGUUUUGCUCCCCAAACGACAUUGGGAAGUGUCUGGAGAAAUAUUUAGUUGCCACAUUUGAGGGAAGAGAGAGGAUUUUCUACGGGCAUCUAGCAGACAGGGACCAAGGAUGCUGCCAAAUAUCCUAAAUUGCAUAGGAAAGCACCACACAACAAAGAAUUAUCAGGCCCCAAUGUUGAUAGUGCAAGUUCAAGAAAUGUUGCUGUAUGGGAUCUCAAAAAUUUUAAAUUUGUUCAGAUUUAUUAUUUUAUGACCCAGAAUAUGACUAUCUCGGUGAAUGUUCAAUGUACACAUGAAAACAAUGUUUAUCCUUUUAAUAUAGGGAAGAAUGUUGUAUAAAUGUCAAUUAGGUCAAGUUGGUUGACAGUGUUGUUCAAAUUUUGUAUAUCUUUACUGAAUUUUAUACCUACUUAUUCUAUAGAUUACUGGAAGAAAAGUGUUGAAAUGUCCAACUAUAAUUGUGAGUUUGUCACUUUUUUUUUAGUUCUCUCAGUUUUUUACUUUUUAUUACAUUUUAUUUUAUUCAUGUCUGUUAGUUUUUUGCUUCUUGUAUUAUGAAGUUCUGUUGUUAAAUAUAUUCAGGUUUUUACAUAUUAUUAAAGAAUUGACCUCUUUAUUAUUAUGUAAUGUCUCUCUAUUCCUGGUAAUAUUUCUUGUUCUGAAGUCUACUUUUUCUGAUAGUAAUACAGUCACUCCAGCUUUCUUUUGAUUAGCAUUUGUGUGGUAUAUUUUUUCAUCCUUUAAUUUUUAACCUAUGCCUUUAUAUUUAAAGUGUGUUUAUUUAUAACACAUAUAAAGUGCAUUUAUUUAUAGAGUUGGGACUUCCUUUAAUUUAAUUUGACAAUUUCUGUCUAUUGAUAUUUUAGAGCAUUUACAUUUAAUGUGAUUAUCAAUAUGGUAAACUUAAGUUUACCAUAUUGCUAGUUGUUUACUAUUGAUGUAAUAUGUUCUUUGUUCCUUUUCCUUCUUUUCCUACCUGUGGAUUAACUAAAUAUUUUUAUGAUUCCAUUUUUAUCUACAUUACUGAUCUAUAAGUUGUUCCUCUUUUCAAAUAUUUUUAGUAGUUGUGCUGGUAUUUACAGUAAAUAUCUUUAAGCUAUCACAGUCUAUCUUCAAGUAAUUUAUAUCAUUUCACCUGUAGUAUCAGGACCUCACAGCACAUAUUCCAUUUACUCCUUUCCAUUCUUUGUGUUAUUGUCAUACAUUUUACUUCUACUUAUAAGCCUCACAAUACAUUGUAACUAUGCUUGAUUUAGACGGUCAAUUAUCUUUAAAGGUGAUUAAAAAUAAUUUUUAAAAAUAUCCUUUAUAUGUACCUUUAUUUCUAUCAUUUUCAGUGCUAUUUAUUUCUUUACAUAGCCCACAAUUUCCAUCUGGUACCAUAUGCAUUCUGUCUUAAGGACUUCCUUUAACUUUUCUUAUAGCAUAGGUCUGCUGGCUUCAUGCCUGUCCUCCAGCAGCAGGCAGUCACCUCCUGCAUGCCUCUGCCACAGCAGGGACCUCUCUCUCGUUUCCUGCUCCCAGUCUUUCUCAUAAGCACCUCACGCAGGCCUGUGGAAAAGUUUAUAAAUAAGUGUGGGCUUCCCUGUGGGUGGAGUUCCUAGAUAUUUCAAACUAAUAAUAGUUCAUACUUGUCUUUUAGAAAUUUGUGAAACUUUUAGCUAAUUUUUUCCUACUCACAUUUGUAGGGAGGCCACCUAUUUUUCCCAUGCUUUGCCAAAGAUUAAAUACUUUGUAUGUCCCUCUUGAGGGGCAUAUCACUCUUUGAACUUAAUUUACUUGGCUGCCUUGAACCUCAGCUCUCUAAUGGGCUCAAGGAAAGUAGUAAUUUUGUACAUCUUCUGGCUUUUGGUCAUUGUUAGCAGGAACAACGUUCUCUUGUAUCUCUCUACAACAUUUACCAAAGUGGAACUCCUCUUUUCAGCAUCUUAAACAAAUUUUGGAUUUGAAAUGGCUCAAAGCAUUUGGGAACUCUAUUUUACAUACAUUUUAAAAUGAAGCUUCUAUAGUUCUGUGGUAUCUUAUAUGAUCUUAAUUGUUAAUUAGUUGGAAGGAUAUGUGUCAUCUAUUAGUAAGUUGUAGAGUUUUUGUUUUUAGACAUUAUUUGUCAUAACCCCAAAGGGUCUAUUUCUACAUAAGUAUUGAAAUCAUUUUUCAAAAAGCAGCAACAGAAAAAGCUGCUAUAAAUUUCAUGGCUAAAGAUUGGGAGAUAUUUGGGGGUGAUGGUAUCUGCUGAUAUUAACCUUGUGAUCAGCCUAAAUUUCUAUUUAUUACAUUUUUACUUGUUUUUAUUCCUAUAAAUAUUAUAUAUAAGAUUAAUAGUCAACUUAUGGAACAUUUGUCACUGGAACAUAUUUGUCAUUCCCUAUUUAUAUAUAUACAAAUGAAAUACACAUACUUGAUCGAAGUAAAUGCAUUAAAAACAAUCAUCUUUAAUUCCUUUGAAUCUGUACUACAUACAAACGACAUAGUUUUAGGAUUCUCUACAAAUUCUUAAGUAUAAUUAAAUCAGAAUUAAGGUGAUCAUCUACAUAUUGAAAGCUGCCUUCCAAAUGAAUGAAAUGUAAUAUAACAUUUCAAAUAUAAAAGGAAAUGUUGAUGCCCACGAAAUAAUUUCAUCUUCAUUUAUCUAGGAUCAAAUAUUGUGAAGAAAUUUAACAUUAUCUAUGGAUUAAUAUAAAGACAAAUGCGAUGGGCUGUAAUUGAGCAUUCAAAUUAAGUUUUUCAUAUAGUGUGCUCAUAUGUUAGACCUUUAAGAAAUGUGAAUCAGAUCUAAUCAUAGCAGCAGUGAGUGAUAAUGCAGUUUGCCAGCUAAGGCAAGGCACCCCAGGAAAAUGCUAUUCAUAUAACAUUGCCUAAUCAGUGUAUAUCUAAGGCAUCUUUAAAGGAAAAUGUAUACAGAUGCUCCUCCAUUUAUGAUGGGGUUAUGUCCAGAUAAAGUCAUUGUAAGUUGAAAAUAUCAUUAAUCAAAAAUGAAUUUAAAACGCUUAACUUCCCAAACAUCAUAGCUUAGCCUAGCCUACCUUAAAAGUGCUCAGACACUUAACAUUAACCUACAGUUGGGCAAAAUUAUCUAACACAAAGCCUAUUUUACAAUAAAAUGUUAAAUAUCUCAUGGAAUUUAUUGAAUGCCGUACUGAAAGUGAAAAGCAGAAUGGCCGUAUGGGUACUUGAAGUAUGGUUUCUACUGUGUGCUUAUUAUUUUCAUGGUGUCAUAAAGUCAAAAAAUCAUAGCGUAACCCUGGUUAAGUCAGGGACCAUCUCUAUGUCCUUCAUAUACAAGAUUUUAUUAUUUUACUUUUCAGAAUUUCUCGCUGUGAUGAAAUUAAUGUAGUUGGGAAAAUAGUACUGGAUUUAAAUUCAUUUCUAAGAACAGAAGAAAAUUAAAGAUAUUAAUUAUGAAGUUACAAAACAUAUCAAUGAGCUCUUUUUGGAAUUUGAGUUUAGUAUUUGAGUCAGAGUGAUGUGAGAGAUAUUUAUUUGCCAAGCAUGAAGCAGAGACUUCAGUGGCUGCAGUAGCAUAGUAUCUGCUCCCAAGUGGUUUCCAGUCUGGUAAAGGGAUAUACAGAGCCUCAGUCUAAGUGCUGCAGGAGGCAUGGACAGGAUUCAGAAUGCCCAGAGGUCCCCCAGGCAGCCAGGGAAGGGGAACACUGAAGAUGGAGAUCAUUGGAGGAGGACGGCAUUGCAAGCAGAAGAUAAGAAAGAAUCCCUUCUUCUCAUCCACAUGACACAUAUCAUAAGAUCAUAUGGCCUCAAAAUCAUAGCUCUUCUUAUUUUCCUUAAGAACAUGGAGUUUCACAUGCAAUUAACUUAAAUCUUCCCAGCCCUCCAUUCUCCCUUCAAUAAUUACCUUUCUAUUUUGCUGUUCAUCUAAUGCGCUUUAACACUAUGCUAUGUUAGAACUAUUUUUUCUAUUCUGUUUAUUUUCAGGCUUUUAAGAAAUUUUUAUUAGACGAUUUUAGUAAUUCAUGUGAAAAAGCAUAAAUUUACCAAUCUGUAGCAGCAGAUAAUCCAAGGGAGAGUUCAUGCUAGAAGUGGGGGAUCAGGAGUAAAUAUUCUCCUAACUAAGAGCUUAGGUCAAACUAGAGUCCAAGAGAGUAGAGAGGUAAAGCCUGUGCUAAGAGCCAGAAUAUAGCAAGAAGCUUUUGAUACUCUCAGCUGCCAACUAGGAAACGGGUGAGAACAGGCACACAAAUGAGCAAAGGGGUAGAAAUGAGAUUUACAGCAAUUGUAAUAUAUUUAUUCAGUGCCUAUAAUCAUCUUUGAAUACACUCAUUUAUUUAGACUGUGCAUUCUGUGUUGCAUAUUUGUUGAUUAACAUUUUCAUUAGUUUACCAUUGUAGAAACAAAAAUAGUAAGUUAUGUGUCUGUAAGAAAGAGACAUGACCUGCUAGGUCCUGUCCAGAGGUCUUACUAACUUGGCUGACUUAAAGAUAUGAUUAAAGGAAUAAAGCCAUAUUAGGAAGAAGUGGUUAUUAACAUCACCCAGAAUGGCCAGAAAUUUCAGCAUAAAUAUUUAUGAGAGAGUCCACUGAAACUACACAUUUAGUAAAGGGAAACAAGAUCUUUGGUUUUUGAGAACUUUCUACUGGACAAAAAACCUUGAAGUCAAAAGCUAGUCAAAGGUACCACGUGAUACUUCUUGUUUCAGGUGAAGCUGCCUGUCUAUCACAGAGCAACCACUGCACAACAUCCAGAGUUGGCAUUAAAUCCAAAAGCUUUGGAGAUGAAUGACUUCGUUAAGAUUCCUCUCUGGGAAUGUGAAGAGAUGGGAUCUAAACUCAAAGACUCUGAUCCAUAAAUUUUUGGAGCUGUAAGUCUGAGGUCAAAAGACAUGAAUCUUAGGAAACAAAUUUCCUUUUCUCCAGGGCUUCCUGUCUCUUUCCUCAUCCAGUUAUAAGGGAAAAAAAAUAUUACAGUAGAAGAAAAAAUGGUCAGUGCAAGCUGAUCUUGGCUAAGGUUAAAGGAGGGCCAUACAAUAAUGGUCUGCCUCUUCCCAUUUUUAUUUAGCUUCCCAAUAGAAUAAUGAUCAUGCUGUGGCAUGUUUUGGAAUAAUUAUAUCUGGCAGAGGCAUCACUCAGGUUUUGCCUGUAUGUAAAUGGAGGACUGUUUCCUUGUGAGUAGAUGACCAUGCCUCCCAAUUUACCUGGCACUGUCUCAGGUUGUGCCCCUUUCUUCUCAAAAUACCAUGAUUUGGAUGAAAAUAUAAAUUGCCACCCUGUUAAUGAGCCACUGUUUUAGAGAUGGCUCCCUCCCAGAAGGAAAGCUACCUAAAAUACCCUCAGAUGGUAUUAGACAUUAACGAAAAAUAAACUUUAAAUAUUUUCUAGUCACAUUAAAAUAGCUAAAGUAAAAAAAGUGCAAAUAUCAGUAAAGGGAUAAUGCUUCACAUACACAUGCAUGCACACACACACAUUCACACACACGCUCUGGCCUAUUUUUCAAAUGGAAGUGCCUGUGAGGCUUAAAAGUAUGAUAAGAAGAAAAGGAAGAAAAUAGAUAAGAUGUGCAAAUGAGACAACCCUUACUAAAAGGGUGAAGGGACAAGGAGAAGUGCAGCCAAUCCUGAGCAGAAUGUACUGAAACAUUCAGCAUUUCUUCCCCAGGAUGGCACGCUCCUCUGAAGAAAUGAUUCCAUACGAAGGAGAAGGGUCCCCUUUCCAGAUGACAGGCUUUGUCUUCAAAGCAAGGGUAUGCAACUACUGGACUUUGUCUAUACUUGGUAACUUUUAUAAAUAAAUCAAGUCUGGUAAUUCAUGCUGUACCAAGAAAGGCUCUAGUUAGAAGAGCAGCAUUAGCAUUUUAGAUUUUGGUCUAACAGACAGUGUAGCAAGGUCUCCUGGGUAAAGUUUUAAGAGCAAUUAGAGCUAAUAAAAAGACAGGCUUGUCAGCACCUGAACAAUGUGGAAAAGGAGAGCCAGUGGCUUGGCUUUUGAUUUUGAACUGGACCCAAGUUAAAGCUAAUAGAAUUGUUUUUUUCAGGAGUACGUGUGUGUGUGUGUGUGUGUGUGUGUGUGUGUGCACGUGUGCACUUGUUUGUGCGUAGCCUGUGCAUGGGGUGAGGGGGUUCAUGAACAUAGAUACAGUUCAGCUUUGGAAUAAAAGUGAAAGGCAUUUUUAGUUGCUUUCAAAACCUCUAAAAAUAGCCAUAAGUCUCUGCCAAAGCUAAUAUAGACAGGAUUCCCAUGGAAACCCUCUGGGCUAGAAGGGGCGGGUAUUAUUUUUUCACUGGUUAUUGGUUAAAAGACUUCUACCCAUUUUCUAUAAUGUAGGAGUGUGUUUACUGUCAAAACUGAUGAAUCAAAUCUUAAAGGCACCUGCUUAUCUGUUCUACUUAUCUGAAGGAGAGAAAGUACAGUAGUGUCUGUACUUAAUAAAAAAUUUUCGCAAGGAAUGCGUUAGUUAAGAAAAAAAAGUACCACCUUCUUUCACAUUCUGUGCUUAUAUGUUCUGUAGCUAGUUUUUAAAUUCCUACUUUGAGUCCAUGGUCACAGCCAGAUUUCAUGAUAUUUUUACCCAUAUAUUUAUCUGUGAUAACAGUCAUCUGUUUUUACAUUUUCUCAUUUUGGGUGGUGUCUUAUUUGGAUGUAUGUGUCAAUUCCGAGGCACCAAGAAUUAAAGGAUGUAUGAUCAGCCUAGAAUUUGACAUUGUGAAGUUAACCCUUAGGAAUUUUCAUUUUCUUCACUUUCAGCUGGAAGAUUAAAAUUUCAAAAAAUAUUAAGAGCUAAGAAUGAUGAACUUAUUUCUUUUCUUUUGAAUUAUAACACCUUUGGGGAAAGUAUUUUAACAAAAUAAUUAGCUGUUUAUCAGUUUACAAAUACAGAGAUAAGAAGAACUUAAAUCUUUUUAAAGAUUACAAAAAGCAAGAAUACAAUAGAAUUCUAAAGGUAUUUUCCAUAUAUUUCAGUAGAUUCAGAUUAUGACUAGUUAAAUGAUUAAUUGAUAGUUAUUUUAAAAACUUUGAUUGCUUUAUUCUUUGAUUUUAUUCUUUUUCUUCUUUCUAAUAAUGCGUUUUCUAAACCAUAUUAUAAGUAAUAAUUAACAUAUGUACAUGGUUCUUAAUAACCUACUAAACACUUCCAUGUAAAUCAUAUUUAAUCAUCAUAAAUAUAAACAUAAAGGUUUAUAAAGUCACCAUUUUUAUAAUUAUUCUAUAAUUAUGAAAUAAUAUAAAUAUUCUUUAUAUGUCAUUUUGUUUUAUUUCUUCAUGUGGUUAAUGUCAUUUAACUUAUAGUUCUAGAAGAUGUUUUUGCAGUAACUACAAUAUGCAUAUUUUUUUGCUUAGUAUUUUACAUCUUUAAGUAAAGAUUGAGGAGGAAACGUAAUGCCCUAAAAUAUUACAGCUCACCAAACACAUCAUGGAGUCAUAUUUUAGGAUAUUCUUAGUCCCAGAUAGCAGGAGUAGUGGCUAGAAACAAACCUUUGAUACGUAGAAGUCCCCCAGAUUCCUAGAUAGUAUCUGGAAGCAUCCAGGGCCUGGUGCUGAAAGGAUCUGGUUUUCUUCUCCUGUUGUAGUGGCUAAGAGGCCUGUGUAGAAAAAGCUGUGGGUCUCACAGACAGCGAUCUUAUCGCUAGAGCUGGGUUAGGGGUAUAUCCAGGAGACAUUUUCCUUCUCUGAGCCCCACUUGCAAGAGACAUUCGCUAUACCCAGAGGGAACUCCAGUAGAAGUGCCAGAUUGUUUGCUGUUGGCAUAUAAAAGUGCUUCAUAGUGUACUUUACUUCAUGGUGCCCGAAAUCUGCUGAGAGGCAACUGGUGACAGAGACCUGAAGAAAGUGGAGCCCAGAAAUGUCUUGGAUUUUGACUUUAUCUCUUUCUUUGAUGGUCUUUCAUGAUGCUAAACAAGUCCUGUGUGCUUAGAUAGAAACUGAAGCUUGUGAGAAUGUUUUCUCUUUUACCUGGGGUGGAUUGGGAUCCUCACCAUACAGCAUUAAUUUCUUAACGAUAUAUAUAAUCAUAGAAGACAAUAGAGGCAUCAUUCCAGACAAUAUUUUUAAAGCCAUUUGGCACAAGAAAUAAGACAAGCAAAAAUCCAAAAAGUGACAAAAGCUCUACCCAAUGAGGGGGUCAGUCCCAUCUAAGUAAUGCAAAAAUGGGAUUGGCUUGAGGAAGUAGGAAUGGGAACCCAGUACUGAAGUUAUAGGCCAAAUCAAAAGAUGGGAAAUCUAGAAGACAUAUUUCUUCAAAAAGAUAACAUAAAGUGCUUAGGGUCAGUUCAACAAAAGCCUUAAGGAUCAAACCUGAAGAGACAAAAAAUAGCAACAGACGAAGUAAGGCAAUAAGCAGAGAAUCAUAAUACUUACACAACCUCAAGAGGUUCUCUUGAUAUGACCUGCUGAGAAAUAAAAUAUUAUCUGAAAAUUGCAAGACUCCAAGAUGUUGGCCCAAUAUUCCUAUUAUUAAGGAAUUAAAUGUGUCUUCUGCAUUUCCCAUAUUUUGAUUUGGCUUGUAACUGCAGUACUGAGUUCCCAUUCCUACUUCCUCAAGCCAAACCCGUUUUUGCUCCUUGCAUGGUAAACCACUGGACUGAAGCUCAUUAAGCCUUCCUUUCAAAUUUUAUUUAUUAAUUUUCAGUUUCGUUUUUCUCCCAUAUGAGAAUAAGAUCGACAAACAGCUUUACAGUUUGAAAAACUUCUUUCUAUAAACAAUAAACAUUCAGUUUUAUAAGCAGCCUUUGUCUCUGUUACUAUUUAUUAUGUAUAUGUUGCAUUUCUCAUGGACAUUUGUCAAUGAGAAUUUUUAAUCUCUGUGGUAAGGUGUUUUCUUCCAUUUAUUUAUUUAUUUAUGCAUUUAUGUGUUUAUGCAUUUGUUUAUUUUGAUGUCAGGAAGCCCUACAAUUUAGUUGACUUAUUUAAUCAUUCAAGAGAAUAAUAUUGAAACAGUGAAUUUUGAUAGCAUCAUGUCUGGGUUCAAUUAUUAGCUACAUCUUGCUAAUCUGUAUAAUAGUCAUACCAUAGGGCUUAGUUAAUUGUAAAUACUCAAUAAAUUUUUAUUUUUAACCUCA
rnacentral:lncRNA from 1 species